AAAACGGAGAGUUUGAUCCUGGCUCAGGAUGAACGCUGGCGGUAUGCUUAACACAUGCAAGUCGAACGGGGGUAGCAAUACCCUAGUGGCGGACGGGUGAGUAACGCGUGAGAAUCUAGCUUCAGGUCGGGGAUAACAGAGGGAAACCGCUGCUAAUACCGGAUGAACCUACGGGUGAAAGAU
rnacentral:rRNA from 1 species